UCGGGAAUUUUGUGCAAUGGGCGAAAGCCUGACACAGCAACGCCGCGUGAAGGAUGAAGUCCCUCGGGAUGUAAACUUCGUAAGAAUAGGAAGAAUAAAUGACGGUACUAUUUGUAAGGUCCGGCUAACUACGUGCCAGCAGCCGCGGUAAUACGUAGGGACCAAGCGUUGUUCGGAUUUACUGGGCGUAAAGGGUGCGUAGGCGGCAUAUCAAGUCACUUGUGAAAUCUCCGGGCUUAACUCGGAACUGCCAAGUGAUACUGAUGUGCUAGAGUGCAGAAAGGGCAACUGGAAUUCUUGGUGUAGCGGUGAAAUGCGUAGAUAUCAAGAGGAACACCUGAGGCGAAGGCGAGUUGCUAGGCUGACACUGACGCUGAGGUACGAAAGCUAGGGGAGCGAACGGGAUUAGAUACCCCCGUAGUCCCUGAGCGGGCUGGCAAGGCGCAU
rnacentral:rRNA from 1 species